UACGGAGGGAGCUAGCGUUGUUCGGAAUUACUGGGCGUAAAGCGCGCGUAGGCGGCUUUGUAAGUUAGAGGUGAAAGCCCGGGGCUCAACCCCGGAACUGCCUUUAAAACUGCAUCGCUUGAAUCCAGGAGAGGUGAGUGGAAUUCCGAGUGUAGAGGUGAAAUUCGUAGAUAUUCGGAAGAACACCAGUGGCGAAGGCGGCUCACUGGACUGGUAUUGACGCUGAGGUGCGAAAGCGUGGGGAGCAAACAGG
rnacentral:rRNA from 1 species